GGCAGGGUAGCUCAGUUGGUUAGAGCGGGCGUUUCAUAAGCGCCAGGUCGUGGGUUCGAAUCCCACCUCUGCUA
rnacentral:tRNA from 1 species